CCCGUGCCUGUGUAUAAACACUGCAUGGUCAUCACACUGUUGUUAGGCUAAGACAAGUUGUUUUUGUGUUCAGUGUUUGUGUCAACAAUAACUAACUGACAUUAAUUGCAAUCAAACAAAAUUGUGCAUACUUGUAACAUAAGAUAAAUUCUUAGAAAUUGAUCUAGUAAUGGUCAGACAACUACCAUUAAGGGAUGUUAAACUUUGAUUCUAUUUACAUUAGCCUUAAAGUCACUCUAGCUGUUUAAUACAGGCUAUUGUGGUUACUUGCAUAACUGGGCUUAAUUCUCCAAUUAAACAAAGCAAUUAACAAUAACUGCAUCGGUAAAUGUUGUACUUGCUUGAUCAAUUCUGUGUAGAAAAUUGUGUGGAAUAGAUUGACACAGUGACAGGAUGCUCGUGUUAAAAAUAUGAGGAAGGGUUGGCUCACUUCCGCUCCAAGGACCUCUCUAACUCAUACGCAUUGCAGACUGCUCUAAAUAACAGCUUUGUCGAGAAAGGUCUAUUAUGCUACUUCAGAGCAGAGGAGCUAUUCAUGUUGAAUACAAUGUUGGAUGAUGAAAUGCGUCUGAACAAUGAAGGAGUAAAGAAGACCCUAAUAACAACUGCAGGGUACCAGGAGGAUGAUCCGGAACUCUAUUUCUUGAAUCCAGACCAGGUGGUUGAGAUGAGUAGUGGAAAGCUGGUUGAUCCAGAAAGUACAUCCAUGAUCUGGAUACCAAACUGGAAUGCUGUAAGUGCAGGCCUACCUAGAGCAGAACUGUGCCAUGUGAUACAAGUGCCAACCUCUUUGGGACCGUUCCAGGU